rnacentral:rRNA from 1 species
UGAGUAACCUGCCCUUAACUCUGGGAUAAGCCUGGGAAACUGGGUCUAAUACCGGAUAUGACUCCUCAUCGCAUGGUGGGGGGUGGAAAGCUUUAUUGUGGUUUUGGAUGGACUCGCGGCCUAUCAGCUUGUUGGUGAGGUAAUGGCUCACCAAGGCGACGACGGGUAGCUGGUCCGAGAGGAUGACCAGCCACAUUGGGACUGAGACACGGCCCAGACCUCCGUACGGGAGNAG